rnacentral:ncRNA from 2 species
AAUAAAAAAAUACCAACCACCUAUAUAAUGUCAUGAUAUGGAUGCUAGUCUCUACCCGGAGCCGUAAAUUCCGGACUAUAUGUGAGUUAAAUUAAGCG